rnacentral:rRNA from 1 species
AGCGAACGCUGGCGGCAGGCCUAACACAUGCAAGUCGAACGAACCUUUCGGGGUUAGUGGCGGACGGGUGAGUAACACGUGGGAACGUGCCUUUAGGUUCGGAAUAACUCAGGGAAACUUGUGCUAAUACCGAAUGUGCCCUUCGGGGGAAAGAUUAAUCGCCUUUAGAGCGGCCCGCGUCUGAUUAGCUAGUUGGGUGAGGUAAUGGCUCACCAAGGCGACGAUCAGUAGCUGGUGUGAGAGGAUGAUCAGCCACAUUGGGACUGAGACACGGCCCAAACUCCUACGGGAGGCAGCAGUGGGGAAUCUUGCGCAAUGGGCGAAAGCCUGACGCAGCCAUGCCGCGUGAAUGAUGAAGGUCUUAGGAUUGUAAAAUUCUUUCACCGGGGACGAUAAUGACGGUACCCGGAGAAGAAGCCCCGGCUAACUUCGUG